rnacentral:rRNA from 1 species
UUGCCUACGGGACGCAGCAGUAGGGAAUCUUCCACAAUGGACGAAAGUCUGAUGGAGCAACGCCGCGUGAGUGAAGAAGGGUUUCGGCUCGUAAAACUCUGUUGGUCGGGGAGAAAGAUAGAGGUAGUAACUGGCCUUUAUUUGACGGUAAUUACUUAGAAAGUCACGGCUAACUACGUGCCAGCAGCCGCGGUAAUACGUAGGGGGCAAGCUUUGUCCGGAUUUAUUGGGCGUAAAGCGAGUGCAGGCGG